rnacentral:rRNA from 1 species
UACGUAGGCAGCUAGCGUUGUUCGGAGUUACUGGGCGUAAAGAGUGCGUAGGCGGUUUUCUAAGUUUGGUGUGAAAUCUCCUGGCUUAACUGGGAGGGUGCGCCGAAGACUGGAAGGCUUGAGUAUGGGAGAGGUAAGCGGAAUUCCUGGUGUAGCGGUGAAAUGCGUAGAUAUCAGGAGGAACACCUGCGGUGUAGACGGCUUACUGGACCAUAACUGACGCUGAGGCACGAAAGCGUGGGUAGCAAACAGG